rnacentral:rRNA from 1 species
AGAUUGAACGCUGGCGGCAUGCCUUACACAUGCAAGUCGAACGGCAGCACGGGAGCAAUCCUGGUGGCGAGUGGCGAACGGGUGAGUAAUACAUCGGAACGUGCCCAGUUGUGGGGGAUAGCCGGCGAAAGCCGGAUUAAUACCGCAUACGACCUACGGGUGAAAGCGGGGGCUCGCAAGACCUCGCGCUAUUGGAGCGGCCGAUGUCGGAUUAGCUUGUUGGUGGGGUAAAAGCCUACCAAGGCUACGAUCCGUAGCUGGUCUGAGAGGACGACCAGCCACACUGGGACUGACGACACGGCCCAGACUCCUACGGGAGCAGCAGGUGGGUAAUUUGGACAAGUGGGCGCGAAGCCUGACUCCAGCCAUCGCCGCGUGGCGGAAGACGGCCUUUCGGGUACGUAAACCGUCUUU